rnacentral:rRNA from 1 species
AUGCCGCGUGUGUGAAGAAGGCCUUCGGGUUGUAAAGCACUUUUGUCCGGGAAGAAAUCGCACCUGAUAAUACCGGGUGUGGAUGACGGUACCGGAAGAAUAAGGACCGGCUAACUACGUGCCAGCAGCCGCGGUAAUA